rnacentral:lncRNA from 1 species
GUGAAAUAUAAAAUAAAUAUAUUUUGUUUAGUACCAAUUGUUAUAAAUCUUUUCUGUUGGUUAUUAAUAGAGAGCUUUUUCAUGAAUAACUUUGUGCUUCUUCACUGAAAGGCUGAAUUUGCUUUGAUUUCUUAACUAAUUGUGGUGAAAUUCACAGAACAUCUGAAAAGCACUUCUAUGAAAUCUAAUUUUUAAUUUAUAUUUAUUUUUUGGGGGGUGAAGGAGGGGUACAAGGGAUUGAACUCAGGGGCACUUGACCACUGAGCUAUAUCACCAUCCCAAUUUUGUAUUUUAUUUAGAGACAGCAUCUUACUGAGUUGCUUAGCACCUUGCUUUUGCUAAGGCUGGCUUUGAACUUGCAAUCCUCCUGCCUUUGUCUCCCCAGUCACUGGGAUUAUAGGCAUGCACCACUAUGCCCAGCUUUAAUUUAUAUUUUAAUACAUUUCUGACAUUAGGCCUAAGACUUCCACCAAUCUUUAGGAUUUGUUCAAAUAUUAAAAUUUAACUUUGAAAUUUUGUACCCAUUUGAUUAGUGUAACCAGUUGACACAGUGCAGAGGAAUUUUUUUGCUAUUGUUGUUUAAAGAAAGGUCCCAGUAGCCAAACAGCCUGGACAGGGAGGGUGGGCCUGCUGGAGGCAGAUCUUGGGUAGAACUGGACACUGGGUGUUUCAGAUUCAAAGCCUGUGGAUAAUGGGGGUCCAACUAGGCCUGGAAGCUGAAGAAUCAGUUGAAGCAGAAGAUACAGAGAAGGCAUAGCUACAAACCCAAUUGAAUUGAAAAGCGUUCUUAAUCAUAGUGCUAGAAUUCUCCUUUACCUCUCAUGAUUGCAGCUGAUUGUGGCAAACUGCACCUCUUUUUGUGCGUAUUUGCAGCUAAGAAAGAUGAUGGGCCACUGAAACAAAGGCUGGGCAUGGAAAUUGAACUACAGAGAAGUUGUUCAUACAGCAGUAUUAAGAAAUAGGCAUGGAUAAGACUUCUUCAUCCUGAAGGUGAAAACAAGUGUUGAGAGACAAAGCAUCAUUUCUGUGUAGAUGUGGUAUCUUAAUUUAUAAAUACUUUUCAAGUUAAUCUAUAAAUAUAACACAGUUUUGGUCAAAAUGAAUCUGGGAUUUGGGGGAGGAACUUAAAAGGAUGAUCUAAUGGAAAAAUAAACAUGGGGCUUUCUAAGGACCUUUCUGAAAAGAAAGAACAGUGGUUAAUAUAAUGAGAACAUAUGAACACAGACCUGUGGAACAAUACUUGAGUCUAGAAAUAGGUUUAACAGUAUAUAAGCCCUUAAAAUGAUA